rnacentral:misc_RNA from 1 species
GUAUAGAUUUCAUUGCCACGACAUUCUAUCAACAUACAUUGGGGUAAAUGAAGCAACAUAGACCCUAUGAGGGGUCUACAAAAAGUGCACAGGUGGAGAUAUAAAGAUGACAAGGCGUGCACAUGCUCCCUAGAGAGCCAGCAACAGCCCAUCAGGUUUAUUUCAAUAAUGAUCCUUCCGCAGGUUCACCUACGGAAA